UGCCAGGUGACGCAUGUACUAGGAUAGGAAAAAUUCAUCCAAUCAUAGCCAUGCAACUCCACUCAAAGGACAAACCACCGUCAAAGAUAAAAGGAGCACCAAUCUCAAUUGCAAACAUUUCAAACACCUUCAAUAUUAUUUCUCUUGAAGCCUCUCCAAUUUGCCUUCACUUCUUAAUAAUAAUAAUAAUAUUAAUUCCUCUUUUCUUGUACCAAACCAAAUUGAUAUUUUGAACUCAAUGGAAGGUAGCACAACAAGCUCUGAACUCCCUCCUGGCUUUAGGUUUCACCCAACGGACGAGGAACUGAUUGUGUAUUACCUUUGUAACCAAGCCACCUCAAAGCCAUGCCCUGCAUCUAUCAUCCCAGAAGUGGAUCUCUAUAAGUUUGAUCCUUGGGAAUUGCCAGAUAAAACAGAAUUUGGAGAAAAUGAAUGGUAUUUCUUUAGUCCAAGAGACAGGAAGUACCCAAAUGGGGUGAGGCCUAACCGAGCAACUGUGUCUGGGUAUUGGAAGGCUACUGGCACAGACAAGGCAAUCUAUAGUGGAUCUAAGAAUGUUGGGGUGAAGAAAUCUUUAGUCUUUUACAAGGGUAGGCCACCAAAGGGUGCCAAGACUGAUUGGAUCAUGCAUGAGUAUCGAUUGGCUGAAUCAAAAAUACCAGCUAGCAGGAAAAUUGGGUCCAUGAGGCUGGAUGACUGGGUCUUGUGCAGGAUCUAUAAGAAGAAGAGCAUGGUAAAAGCAUUGGAGCACAAAGAGGCACACCCAGAAGUCCAAAUUGCUAAUCUUGCGCCUGCAAAUCAUGAUGUUGAACAGAAAAUGAUGAACCUUCCUAGGACUUGGUCCCUUACUUACCUUUUGGAUAUGAAUUACUUGGGUCCAAUUUUAUCUGAUGGCUCUUAUUGCUCAACCUUGGAUUUUCAAAUUAACAAUGGGGAUUAGACCCUUUUGUGAAAUCUCAACCGGUUGAAAUGAACAAUUAUGUAGCAGAUUCAGGGAAGUACCAAGUGAAACAGAGUAGCACCAUUGACCAGCCCAUAUAUGUGAAACAAAUGUAUGAUUUGCUAGGAUAAAACCAAUAGGAAAAAAAAAAAAGAGCUUGGAUUGUUGUCUAGUCAUGACGAUAGGUAUCAUCUAUAAAAUAUAAAAGAUCAUGAAGAUUCUAUGUAGUAUUAUGUCAAAUAUAUGUUAUAUUAAAAAUUGGAUUUUCAAUGUCUCAUUGACAGUAUUUGUACAUAAGGACGAGUAAUUAACUGCCUCUAAAGUAAUGUUCAUUCUUC